CCUACGGGGGGCAGCAGUGGGGAAUAUUGGACAAUGGGCGAAAGCCUGAUCCAGCCAUGCCGCGUGUGUGAAGAAGGCCUUCGGGUUGUAAAGCACUUUCAGUGGGGAAGAAAGUCUUGGGGCUAAUACCCUCGAGGAAGGACAUCACCCACAGAAGAAGCACCGGCUAACUCCGUGCCAGCAGCCGCGGUAAUACGGAGGGUGCGAGCGUUAAUCGGAAUUACUGGGCGUAAAGCGCGCGUAGGCGGUCUGAUAAGCCGGUUGUGAAAGCCCCGGGCUCAACCUGGGAACGGCAUCCGGAACUGUCAGGCUAGAGUGCAGGAGAGGAAGGUAGAAUUCCCGGUGUAGCGGUGAAAUGCGUAGAGAUCGGGAGGAAUACCAGUGGCGAAGGCGGCCUUCUGGACUGACACUGACGCUGAGGUGCGAAAGCGUGGGUAGCAAACAGGAUUAGAUACCCGGGUAGUC
rnacentral:rRNA from 1 species